AAAAGAAGCCCCUGGAAUCGACAUGGCGAUCCGGUCAAAACCAAAACCCAGCCCUCACCGACAAAAACCAUGGCCAGCAGCAGCCAGCAGGGCCUCUUGCCUUCGGAAACUCUAAGUCUCUCCGUCGCAAGGCAAAGCAGCAAGGCGCGAGCGCAGGCGAAGUCUACAGAAGCCGUCGUUCUUCUCUAGAUCCCCGAAUUUAUUGGAGUAAUCUGCCGUCUAAUGGGGCUCCCGAUCCACUGACAACUUCCUACAAUGAUGUCCAGACCUAUGGUGCUUUUUUUCCUACUCUUGUUACUUAUCAUAACGUCUCAUUUUGAGUGGAAGCAACAAAUCUUGAGUGAAGUUGAAGCAAAUCCAUCAAUCUCUCAAAGGAAGCAACAUAUGUUGGAUAAGGAAGAACUUGUUAAAGAAAAGAUAAUCUUAUCUCAAGAAAAUAGCAUUCGACAACUCAAUAUGCUUGUCCAGAGCCUUCAGCGACAGUUGCUGCACUGCCGAGGGAGCAAUAAAACAAUACAUGGAACUGAAUCAUCUGUGACUGAAAAUGUUAAUGAAGUUGAGAAGCAGCUGAUCCUGGAAGAUUAAUGUUACAUGAUUUGAUUUGGAGCUAUCUAGCUGCAAUGGGCGAUAGUUCAUACUGGAAUCAUAUUUAUUUACUAGUCACAGUCAUUCAGGUGAUCAAAAUCAAGACAUCACAAUGCUAUAACAUCCUUCAUACAGAGAUGGUUUAAUUGCCUGAUAAAGGGGAUGUUGGCAAUAUGAAAUCUUUAUUUUGCGUAUUUUGUCUUAGUAUGGUGAAUUCUUGUUGCCCUAAUGUGUAAUUAUCUAACUAUGUUUGUUUUAAUUGGUACUAUCUUUUCUGAAGUAUCAUAUUACUAUAGCCAUUGCUACUGAAGCUUUCUGAAUCAUUGGUUAUAGGAUCAUGCUGUUUCCAGUGGACACACACUUUUCAUCAACUAGCUUGUAAAACA